ensembl:lncRNA
AUGACAAAAUUACAAGAGAUGGAAAUUGAGAUGGAAAAGAAACGAGUGGGUCUACAAAACUGGGAAAGACUGCUGCAAUCAGAGAGAGAAGAAAACCGGAGAGGUUUAGAUAUAAUAUGGAAAGAGAAGGAGCAGCUAGAUCAAAGAAAACAAGAACUGGAGAGUAUGGAAGUAAAUCUACAGAGAGAGAAAUGUGAAUUAGAAAAGGCAAGAUUGAUGGAGAUUAAACAAGUUGAUGUACAAGUCCAAACUGAUGUGAUGGAGGAUGUAGGAAAAUAUCAGAUGAGCUUGACUAUGGAGGAGCUGGAUAAAGAGCGACAAGCUCUGGAGAAUUUUAAAGAAGACUUACUUGCACAAAAAAGUACAAUUGAGAGACAACUGGCAGAAAUAAAACUGAGCAAGGAUGAAUUAUCACUCAAAGAAGCCGCACUGCAAACUGCUACAAAAAACACAGCAGACAUAGAGUUACAAUUAGAGCUGCGAAAACAGGAGCUAGAACGAACAAAAGAUGAGGUGGAAAGGACAAAGCUAGAAAUACAGAAAGGAUGGGAUGACCUGCAGGCUGAGAUUACAGAAAGCAGAGAAAAAGAAUACAUGAUAAGAACAGAAUUAGAAAAUGCCAGAGAUGUUCUAAAUCACAUUCGACAGGAUAUAGAAAAACAAAAGCAAACCAUGGAGGCCGACCUAAAAGACACUUUUGCUAAAGAACUAGAAGACAUAGAAGCUCAGAGAAAAAGGAUAGAGGAUGAAAAGGGAAUGUUACAGAACAUGAAAUAUGAGCUGCAAAAAGAGUCUAGUGAUAUCGAAAGGUUAAAACAGGAUGUGCAGAAAGAAAGACAGAACAUGAAGAAAUGGGCAGAGCAGCUUAAACAAGAGAGGGAGGAACUAGAAAAGAAAAGGUGUGAUAUGCAACAGAUACAAGCAGAAAUAGCGAGAGAAAAGAACGAUCUAGAGAACCUGAGAGAGGAGAAUGAGCGGACACUGAAGGAGAUCAAAAAGGAGAGAGACACACUUGAGAAAAUAAAUGUACUCAUUUUACAGCAAAAAGAUGAUUUUGAGAAUGAGAAGGAGGAAAUAAAGCAGAGAGAAAAUGAACUGCAGCAAAUGCAGGCUGAUCUUAACAGACAACAAAAAGAAGUGCAGGAUAUUCAGAAUAUAGUUUUAAUGCAAAAAAGUCAACUUCAGAAAAGCCAUGAUGAAAUAGCCGAAAAGCUAAAACAGGCGGAAGCCAUCAGGCAGUUCACACAAAAUGAAAAAGGCAAUCUUGACAGAGAAAGGGCGGCUAUAAUGGAACAGAAGCAGCAGAUGGAGAGUAACUUGACAGAUACAUUAAACAGAGAACUAGAAACUGUGGAGCUUGUGAAAAAAGAGGUACUAAAUGAGAAGCGACUUAUUGAGGACUGCAGAAUAGUUUUACUGAGAGAUAUAGAAGAUCUGCAGCAGAAGAAAAUCAAUUUGGGUAGUCAGGCAGAGGAGAUAAAAUUACAAAGACAAAGUAUUGCAGAAGAGAAAAGCAAGUUGCAACAGACUGAAUCUGUGCUGCAACGAGUAGCUGAAGAUACUGAGAAGCUAAGAGAAGAUACACUAGCUGAAAGACAGAAGCUUAAAAACACUGCUGUGCAACUUCAGAAAGAGAGAGAUGCCAUUGUGAGCCUUUCAGAAGAGACAAAAAGAAAGAUAGAGGAACUGGAUAAAAUGAAAGCUGAUGUAGAAAAGCAGGAAAAUGCAUUUGAGAUAUUGAAGGGCAUGAAAGCUGAUCUGCAAAAAGAAGCCGGUGUCAUUGAAAAUGUAAGACAAGCUGUUCAAAAUGACAUACAAAAAGUAAAAGAUAUAGAAGCCAAAAUUCAGAAAGAAAGACAAUACACUGAUAGUCUAGUUGAAGAGAUUGAAAAGAGGUCCAAAGCUCUGGAUGAGAUGCACAUGGAGGUUGAAAAAGAAAAGCGAUAUGUUGAGUCUGAGAGAGAUGUGCUAGAACAGGAAAAGUCUAAGCUCAAAGAUCUCAAAGAUGAAUUUGCUCAGCAAAAAGAACAGAACAUUAUUAUACUGGCAGAGAUAGAGAAAGAAAGAGACAAUCUUGCCCAGAUGAGUGAAACCAUCUCAAAUCAAAGGUGCAUCGUUGAAAGUGAUAAAGAAAUUUUAAGACAGAGAGAAAAUGAACUGAAACAAAAAGAAGCAGAGAUUGAAAACAAACAAAAACAAAUAGAUGAGUUAAAGAGCAGUUUAAGAAUGGAAAAGAUGCAAGUUGAGCAGAUGGAAGCUGACCAAGAUCAACAAUGGACAGUUGCACAUGAAAAAAUAGAAUAUGUUAAGACUGCAAGAGAUAGAGACGCGACAGACCUGGAGAAAGAGAGACAGGAAAUGGAGAAUUUGAGAGAAGAACUGAGGGUGGCAUAUGAAAAUGUGGAGCUCCAAAAGAGAUAUUUAAUUGAGCAAAAAGAAGUAUUUGAAAGCCGGAUGAAAUCACUAGAAAUGGAUGAGGAAGACAUAGAGAAAAAUAAAGCCAAACUGCACAAAGAAUUUGAAAACUUGCAGUUUCAGAGGCAAUCGUUUGAGAAAGAGAUACAGCAGGUAAGAGCUGACCUUCAGAAAGAGGCUGACAAUACUGAGAGACUAAAGAAAGAGGUGGUAGCUGAAAAGCAGAGUAUAAAAGACAUGGCAGCUCAAAUUCAACAUGAGGGAAAUUACAGAAAAGAAGCUCUAGAGAGGAUGCGCCUUGAGCUAGAAAAACAAAAGCAAGACAUUGAGACUGAAAAAGAUGUAUUAGAAAACCAGAAGUUUGAAGUGGAGAAAAGCAAAAGAGACAUAGCGAGAGCAAAAGACGAUCUUGCUGAAAAGAGAAAAAUGAAUGAUAUUGAUCGGUUAGAGAUGGAGAAGCAGAGAAAUUCCCUUGAGCAAAUGAAGAUGAACAUUUCACAAGAGGAACAUGGUAUUAAAAUAGUGAAGGAAAGUUUGAGACACCAAGAAAAUGACCUGAAUAUACAAACAUCACAACUUCAUGCACAACAGAAAGAAAUAGAAGAGAUUCAGGAUGUUAUCAUGAAAGAAAAGAGUCAGCUUAAUGAAAGACAGGCUGAAAUGGAAAAGCAAAAGAGAGAAUUAGAGAGUGUGAUGGACAGACUUGAAAAAGAGAGGACUAAUGUAAUGGAAGAAAGACAAAGAGUGAAUGGCAGUGCAGUAGAACUGAAGAGGGAAAGUGAAACAGUGGAGCUGAUGAAGCAAGAAGUUCUCCGCGAAAAAGAAUCUAUUGAAAACAGCAGGCAAAUACUGAACAAAGAUCUGGAGGAUAUAAAAGAAAAUAGAACCAUCUUAGCUGAGGAGUUUGAGACCUUAAACUACCAGAAACAAUUGACUGGCAAAGAAAAGCAGGAAUUUGAUAAGAUGAAAAAUGAGUUCCAACAAGAAAAGGAAAUUAUUGCUAAACUAAGGCAAGACAUAGAAAAUGGCAGGCAGAAGGCUGAGGAAAUGGCGAUCAUCCUUCAAAAAGAGAAGGAAGAUAUAGAGAUUUCUUUUGCCAGAAUAAGAUCAGAGGAAGGAGAUCUAAGAAAACAAAAACAAACAACUGAAUCUGAUAGAGACACUCUUAAAAAGGACAAGUCUGACCUGGAGAAAACUAAAGCAGAGAUAGCCAGAGCCAAAGAAGAUCUUGAGAACCAAAUUGAACCACAUAAAAGACAAAAUGAGCUAACACUGGUAGAGAUACAGAAGGAGAAACACAUUCUUGAGCAGUUAAGGAUGAACAUAUCACAACAGAGAGAUGAUCUAGAAAAGGACAUUGAACAAACAAGAUACCAACAAACUGAGCUGCAAAGUCUAAAAAUGGAAAUUCAGAAAGAGCAAACAGAGAUAGAUGAGCAGAAGGCGAUGACAGAUAUAGCAAGAACGAAGGAGGAUCUUGAAACCCAGCUCAUUGAAGAAAGAGAAAAGAACAAGAUCACACUAGCAGAAAUACAGAAAGAAAAAGACAUGCUUCUUUUACUGAGAGAUAGUAUUUCAGAGCAACAGGACAACAUUGCAAAUGAGAAACAACAAAUGAGUAUGAGACAGACUGAACUUGAAGAACUCCAAGCUCUAAUUUAUAGGCAGCAAGAUGAAAUGGAAGACUCACGAAAAGCUCUCACAAUGGAAAAAGACAGACUUGAAAAGAAGAAAACUGAAAUAGAUCAAAAACAGAGAAAGGUAAAUGAAGUCAUGGCAUUUACAACAGGAGAAAAGGCUUAUAUUGAGAAAGAGAAGUCUGAAAUGCUAACACAGAAACACCAAAUGGAGACUGAACUGGAGCUCUUGAAGGCAGAACUGAAUAAUGACAUAAAUGAAAAAAGAGCAGCCCUAGACAAAGAGAUAAAGGAGCUUCAAUAUCAUAAAAAAGCUAUUAGAAAUGAGAAGGAUGACGUCGAACAGAUGAAGAUUGAGCUGCAAAGACAAACUGAAGAUAUGAGAAGGCUAAAAGAAGAAACACAAACUGAAAGACAGAGUUUGGAAAAGAUGGCUGAAAAACUUCAGAAGGAGAAAGAAGAUAUUGUUCAUCUUGCUGAAGAUACAAAGAGAAAGAACGAGAUUCUUGAUGAAAUGAAAGUAUUACAGGAGUCCACAUUAGAAAAUCUGCAAAAAGAGAUCAGGGAAAAACAGGACCUGAUGUCUGAGCUGAGAAAUAAGUCUGAAGAUGUUGAGCUUCAGAUGAAGCAGAUAUUGACUGAAAGGGAAAUGUUGGAAAAUGAUAGACAACUGUUAAAGAGAGACAUGGAAGAUCUGCAACAAAAAAUAAUUAAUGUAGACAGAGACUCAGAGAGUCUGAAACAUGAGAGAGAAGCUUUGGAGAAUGAGAAGGAAGUAAUAAAAAAGAUCAAAACUGACCUGCAAAGAGAGACAGAAGAGUUCGAGAAGAUCAAACUACAAACACAAGAUGAAAGACAAAAACUGGAGGAAAUGACAGCUCAACUCCAGAAAGAGAGAGAAGAAAUCAAUGAUCUUACUGAGAAGAACAAAGUGAAAGAUAUGGUCUUGGAUGAAAUGAACAAAGAAAUUCAAGUGAAAAUUAAAGAAAUUCAAUUUGAUAGAGACAUGAUUGAGAAUGAAAUGCACGAUCUUGAGAAAAUCAAAAGGAAACUUGCUAAAGCAAAGGAGGAUCUUGAAAAAGAAAGAGAAAAGCAAGGAAUCAUACUAGCAGAGAUUCAGAAAGAGAAAGACAACCUAGAGGAGAAGAAGGAGACCAUCACAAGACAAACACGUUAUUUGAAAAAUCAAGAGGAACAAAUGAGACAAAAACAACAUGAACUCGAACAACUGAAAACUGAAAUUCAGAAUCAGAAACAGGAACUAGACAAUGACAGAAACAUUAUAAUAAAAGACAGAAGUCAGCUUGAUCUGAGACAGUCUGAGCUAGACAAACAACAGACAGAGGUGGGUGACAUUAUGGAAAAAAUGAGAAAUGAGAGAAGACAUCUAGAUAAAGACAAAGAAGAGAUUGAAAAACAGAAACAGCAAUUGAAGAAAGAAAGAGAUGAUGUAGACCAACGUAGAAAGGAUCUGACUGAAGACCUAAGGAUGAUGGCACUUCAGAAACAAGUGACUGAAGAUGAGAAGAACAAGUUAGAACAGAUGAAGAUUGAGCUGCAAAGAGAAGCUGAUGAUAUCAGAAAGCUCAAAGAAGAAACACAAAAUGAGAGACAGAGUUUGGAAAAGAUGGCUGAAGAACUUGAGAAAGAGAAAGAAAAUAUUGUUCAUCUUGCUGAAGAUACAAAGAGAAAACAUGAGAUUCUGGAUGAAAUGAAAGCUGCAAGUGAGUCUUCAAUGGCAGAUCUACAAAGAGAGAAAAACAACCUUGAAGAAAUUAGAUUGAACAUCUCCAAACAAAUUGAUGAUCUUGAAAAUGAGAAAGAGAAAAUAAAACUCAGACAAGAUGAACUAGAGCAACUACAAGCAGAGAAUCAAAAACAACAAUGUGAAUUGAAAAACCUCAAAGAAAUCAUCAUGACUGAGAAGCAGCAGCUUGAUCUCAGAGAGACUGAAAUAGAAAAACAACAGAAGGAGCUGCAUGACAUUGUGGAGAUAGCAAAGAAUGAAAAGAGCAUUGCUGAAACUCAAAAAGCUGCAAUGAUCAGGGAAAAACAGGACAUGAUGACUGAGCUGAGAAAGAAGUCUGAAGAUGUUGAGCUUCAGAUGAAGGAGGUAUUGACUGAAAAGGAAAUAUUGAAAAACGACAAACAACUGCUGAAGAGAGACAUGGAAGAUCUGCAACAAAAACUAGUUAAUGUAGACAGAGACUCAGAGAGUCUGAAACAUGAGAGAGAAGCUUUGGAGAAUGAGAAGGAAGUAAUAAAUCAGAUCAAAACUGACCUGCAAAGAGAGACACAAGAGUUUGACAAGAUCAAACUACAAACACAACAGAGUUUGGAAAAGAUGGCUGAAGAACUUGAGAAAGAGAAAGAAAAUAUUCUUCAUCUUGCUGAAGAUACAAAGAGAAAACAUGAGAUUCUGGAUAAAAUGAAAGCUGCAAGUGAGUCUUCAAUGGCAGAUCUACAAAGAGAGAAAAACAACCUUGAGGAAAUUAGAUUGAACAUCUCCAAACAAAUUGAUGAUCUUGAAAAUGAGAAAGAGAAAAUAAAACUCAGACAAGAUGAACUAGAGCAACUACAAGCAGAGAAUCAAAAACAACAAUGUGAAUUGAAAAACCUCAAAGAAAUCAUCAUGACUGAGAAGCAGCAGCUUGAUCUCAGAGAGACUGAAAUAGAAAAACAACAGAAGGAGCUGCAUGACAUUGUGGAGAUUGCAAAGAAUGAGAAGAGCAUUGCUGAAACUCAAAAAGCUGCAAUGAUCAGGGAAAAACAGGACAUGAUGACUGAGCUGAGAAAGAAGUCUGAAGAUGUUGAGCUUCAGAUGAAGGAGCUAUUGACUAAUCAGGAAAUAUUGAAAAAUGACAAACAACUGCUGAAGAGAGACAUGGAAGAUCUGCAACAAAAACUAGUUAAUGUAGACAGAGACUCAGAGAGUCUGAAACAUGAGAGAGAAGCUUUGGAGAAUGAGAAGGAAGUAAUAAAUCAGAUCAAAACUGACCUGCAAAGAGAGACACAAGAGUUUGAGAAGAUCAAACUACAAACACAAGACGAAAGACAAAAACUGGAGGAAAUGACAUCUCAACUCCAGAAAGAGAGAGAAGAAACUGAAAGCCUCUUUGAGAAGACCAAAAGAAGAGACAUGGUCUUGGAUGAAAUGAACACAGAAAUUGAAGUGAAAACUAAAGCCAUUCAAUCUGAUAGAGACAUGAUUGAAAAGGAAAAACAUGAAUUGGAGAAAACCAAACAUGAACUUGCUAAAAUCAAAGAAGAUCUUGAAAAACAAUUUGCUGAGCUUGCAGAAGAGAAAGAAAUCAUACAGGCAGAGAUACAGAAAGAGAGAGACAACCUAAAGGAGAUGAAUGAGACCAUCACAAGACAAAUACAUGAAAUUAAAAAUCAAGAGGAACAAAUAAGACAAAAACAACAUGAACUAGAACAACUGAAAACUGAAAUUCAGAAUCAGAAACAGGAACUAGACAAUGACAGAAAUAUUAUAAUAAAAGACAGAAGUCAGCUUGAUCUGAGACAGUCUGAGCUAGACAAACAACAGACAGAAGUGAGUGACAUUAUGGAAAAAAUGAGAAAUGAGAGAACUCAACUAGAUGAAGAAAAACAAAAGAUGGAAGAACAGAAACAGCAACUGAGGAAAGAAAGAGAUGAUGUAGACCAAAGUAGAAAAGAUCUGACUGAAGACCUAAAGAUCAUGACACUUCAGAAACAAGUGACUGAAGAUGAGAAGAACAAGUUAGAACGGAUGAAGAUUGAUCUGCAAAGAGAAGCUGAUGAUAUCAGAAAGCUCAAAGAAGAAACACAAAAUGAGAGACAGAGUUUGGAAAAGAUGGCCAAAGAACUUAAGAAAGAGAAAGAAGAUAUUGUUCAUCUUGCUGAAGAUACAACGAGAAAACAUGAGAUUCUGGAUGAAAUGAAAGCUGCAAGUGAGUCUUCAAUGGCAGAUCUACAAAGAGAGAAAAACAACCUUGAGGAAAUGAGACUGAACAUCUCCAAAGAAACUGAUAAAAUUGAAAACGAGAAAGAGAAAAUAAGACUGAGACAAGAUGAACUAGAGCAACUACAAGCAGAGAUUCAUAAACAACAAAGUGAAAUGAAAAAGGAAAAGAACAACAUUGAAAGUGAAAGAGUUGCAGUGAUCCGGGAAAAACAGGACAUGAUGACUGAGCUGAGAAAGAAGUCUGAAGAUGUUGAGCUUCAGAUGAAGGAGCUAUUGACUAAUCAGGAAAUAUUGAAAAACGACAAACAACUGCUGAAGAGAGACAUGGAAGAUCUGCAACAAAAACUAGUUAAUGUAGACAGAGACUCAGAGAGUCUGAAACAUGAGAGAGAAGCUUUGGAGAAUGAGAAGGAAGUAAUAAAAAAGAUCAAAACUGACCUGCAAAGAGAGACACAAGAGUUCGAGAAGAUCAAACUACAAACACAAGAUGAAAGACAAAAACUGGAGGAAAUGACAGCUCAACUCCAGAAAGAGAGGAAAGAAAUCAGUGAUCUUACUGAGGAGACCAAAGGAAAGAACAAAGAAAUAGUUCAGAAAUUAAUGGAUAAAGUAGAAGAGCAGAGAAAUUAUAUGAAACUCCAGAAAGAAGAACUUGACCUCGAAAGACAAAAGAUCACUGAUGAAAAAUUAAUUCUAGCUCAAAGUAUGACAGAGCUGCAAAAACAAACUGAACAAAACAAAUACAUGGAGGAGGGAAUAAAGAAGGAGAGAGAAACACUGAAGGAAAUGGAAGCUCGCCUACAAAAGGAAAAGGAAGACAUUGAGAGUGUCACUGAAGAAACAAAGAGACAGAAAGAGGAUCUGGAUAAACAAAAACAAGAGAUGAAGAACAGCAGAGACCUUCUAGAACAAGAAAGAGAAGAAAUAAAGCAUAAAUGGACAGAGUUACAACAGAGAAUUGAUGAAUUUGAUACUCAAGCCAGGCAACAGAAGGAACAAGAUUUCAUGAAACAGAAUGAGAUGGAAGAAGAAAGAAAAGGUCUAGAACAGACCAAAGUCAAGAUCCUGGAGCUGAAGACUAAAGCUGAGCAGGAACAACAAGACAUAAGCCAACAAUUACAAGAGUUGAACACACUGCAAGAACAUAUUAUGAAAGAAAAAGUGAAAGAAGAAGAAAUGAGAGUAAAAGCAAAGAUAGAGAGAGAACAACUCGAUCAGAUAAUAAGGGAACUGGAACGAGAGAAAACUGAAAUGGACAAUGAUAAGAAGAUGAUUGAACAGGAAAGAAAAGACCUGCAAAAGAUAAGGUCUGACAUCAUGACAGAAAGAAAGCAAAUGGAAGACAUGAGAGAAGCAAUCAAACUAGAGAGAUCAGCACUUGUCCAGAAAAUACAAGAUAUUGAUCUAGAAAAGGAUGAAAUUGGAAAGAACAAAGAAAUAGUUCAGAAAUUAAUGGAUAAAGUAGAAGAGCAGAGAAAUUAUAUGAAACUCCAGAAAGAAGAACUUGACCUCGAAAGACAAAAGAUCACUGAUGAAAAAUUAAUUCUAGCUCAAAGUAUGACAGAGCUGCAAAAACAAACUGAACAAAACAAAUACAUGGAGGAGGGAAUAAAGAAGGAGAGAGAAACACUGAAGGAAAUGGAAGCUCGCCUACAAAAGGAAAAGGAAGACAUUGAGAGUGUCACUGAAGAAACAAAGAGACAGAAAGAGGAUCUGGAUAAACAAAAACAAGAGAUGAAGAACAGCAGAGACCUUCUAGAACAAGAAAGAGAAGAAAUAAAGCAUAAAUGGACAGAGUUACAACAGAGAAUUGAUGAAUUUGAUACUCAAGCCAGGCAACAGAAGGAACAAGAUUUCAUGAAACAGAAUGAGAUGGAAGAAGAAAGAAAAGGUCUAGAACAGACCAAAGUCAAGAUCCUGGAGCUGAAGACUAAAGCUGAGCAGGAACAACAAGACAUAAGCCAACAAUUACAAGAGUUGAACACACUGCAAGAACAUAUUAUGAAAGAAAAAGUGAAAGAAGAAGAAAUGAGAGUAAAAGCAAAGAUAGAGAGAGAACAACUCGAUCAGAUAAUAAGGGAACUGGAACGAGAGAAAACUGAAAUGGACAAUGAUAAGAAGAUGAUUGAACAGGAAAGAAAAGACCUGCAAAAGAUAAGGUCUGACAUCAUGACAGAAAGAAAGCAAAUGGAAGACAUGAGAGAAGCAAUCAAACUAGAGAGAUCAGCACUUGUCCAGAAAAUACAAGAUAUUGAUCUAGAAAAGGAUGAAAUUGGAAAGAACAAAGAAAUAGUUCAGAAAUUAAUGGAUAAAGUAGAAGAGCAGAGAAAUUAUAUGAAACUCCAGAAAGAAGAACUUGACCUCGAAAGACAAAAGAUCACUGAUGAAAAAUUAAUUCUAGCUCAAAGUAUGACAGAGCUGCAAAAACAAACUGAACAAAACAAAUACAUGGAGGAGGGAAUAAAGAAGGAGAGAGAAACACUGAAGGAAAUGGAAGCUCGCCUACAAAAGGAAAAGGAAGACAUUGAGAGUGUCACUGAAGAAACAAAGAGACAGAAAGAGGAUCUGGAUAAACAAAAACAAGAGAUGAAGAACAGCAGAGACCUUCUAGAACAAGAAAGAGAAGAAAUAAAGCAUAAAUGGACAGAGUUACAACAGAGAAUUGAUGAAUUUGAUACUCAAGCCAGGCAACAGAAGGAACAAGAUUUCAUGAAACAGAAUGAGAUGGAAGAAGAAAGAAAAGGUCUAGAACAGACCAAAGUCAAGAUCCUGGAGCUGAAGACUAAAGCUGAGCAGGAACAACAAGACAUAAGCCAACAAUUACAAGAGUUGAACACACUGCAAGAACAUAUUAUGAAAGAAAAAGUGAAAGAAGAAGAAAUGAGAGUAAAAGCAAAGAUAGAGAGAGAACAACUCGAUCAGAUAAUAAGGGAACUGGAACGAGAGAAAACUGAAAUGGACAAUGAUAAGAAGAUGAUUGAACAGGAAAGAAAAGACCUGCAAAAGAUAAGGUCUGACAUCAUGACAGAAAGAAAGCAAAUGGAAGACAUGAGAGAAGCAAUCAAACUAGAGAGAUCAGCACUUGUCCAGAAAAUACAAGAUAUUGAUCUAGAAAAGGAUGAAAUUGGAAAGAACAAAGAAAUAGUUCAGAAAUUAAUGGAUAAAGUAGAAGAGCAGAGAAAUUAUAUGAAACUCCAGAAAGAAGAACUUGACCUCGAAAGACAAAAGAUCACUGAUGAAAAAUUAAUUCUAGCUCAAAGUAUGACAGAGCUGCAAAAACAAACUGAACAAAACAAAUACAUGGAGGAGGGAAUAAAGAAGGAGAGAGAAACACUGAAGGAAAUGGAAGCUCGCCUACAAAAGGAAAAGGAAGACAUUGAGAGUGUCACUGAAGAAACAAAGAGACAGAAAGAGGAUCUGGAUAAACAAAAACAAGAGAUGAAGAACAGCAGAGACCUUCUAGAACAAGAAAGAGAAGAAAUAAAGCAUAAAUGGACAGAGUUACAACAGAGAAUUGAUGAAUUUGAUACUCAAGCCAGGCAACAGAAGGAACAAGAUUUCAUGAAACAGAAUGAGAUGGAAGAAGAAAGAAAAGGUCUAGAACAGACCAAAGUCAAGAUCCUGGAGCUGAAGACUAAAGCUGAGCAGGAACAACAAGACAUAAGCCAACAAUUACAAGAGUUGAACACACUGCAAGAACAUAUUAUGAAAGAAAAAGUGAAAGAAGAAGAAAUGAGAGUAAAAGCAAAGAUAGAGAGAGAACAACUUGAUCAGAUAAUAAGGGAACUGGAACGAGAGAAAACUGAAAUGGACAAUGAUAAGAAGAUGUUUGAACAGGAAAGAAAAGACCUCCAAAAGAUAAGGUCUGACAUCAUGACAGAAAGAAAGCAAAUGGAAGACAUGAGAGAAGCAAUCAAACUAGAGAGAUCAGCACUUGUCCAGAAAAUACAAGAUAUUGAUCUAGAAAAGGAUGAAAUUGGAAAGAACAAAGUAAUAGUUCAGAAAUUAAUGGAUAAAGUAGAAGAGCAGAGAAAUUAUAUGAAACUCCAGAGAGAAGAACUUGACCUCGAAAGACAAAAGAUCACUGAUGAAAAAUUAAUUCUAGCUCAAAGUAUGACAGAGCUGCAAAAACAAACUGAACAAAACAAAUACAUGGAGGAGGGAAUAAAGAAGGAGAGAGAAACACUGAAGGAAAUGGAAGCUCGUCUACAAAAGGAAAAGGAAGACAUUGAGAGUGUCACUGAAGAAACAAAGGGACAGAAAGAGGAUCUGGAUAAACAAAAACAAGAGAUGAAGAACAGCAGAGACCUUCUAGAACAAGAAAGAGAAGAAAAUAAGCAUAAAUGGACAGAGUUACAACAGAGAAUGGAUGAAUUUGAUACUCAAGCCAGGCAACAGAAGGAACAAGAUUUCAUGAAACAGAAUGAGAUGGAAGAAGAAAGAAAAGGUCUAGAACAGACCAAAGUCAAGAUCCUGGAGCUGAAGACUAAAGCUGAGCAGGAACAACAAGACAUAAGCCAACAAUUACAAGAGUUGAACACACUGCAAGAACAUAUUAUGAAAGAAAAAGUGAAAGAAGAAGAAAUGAGAGUAAAAGCAAAGAUAGAGAGAGAACAACUUGAUCAGAUAAUAAGGGAACUGGAACGAGAGAAAACUGAAAUGGACAAUGAUAAGAAGAUGUUUGAACAGGAAAGAAAAGACCUCCAAAAGAUAAGGUCUGACAUCAUGACAGAAAGAAAGCAAAUGGAAGACAUGAGAGAAGCAAUCAAACUAGAGAGAUCAGCACUUGUCCAGAAAAUACAAGAUAUUGAUCUAGAAAAGGAUGAAAUUGGAAAGAACAAAGAAAUAGUUCAGAAAUUAAUGGAUAAAGUAGAAGGGCAGAGAAAUUAUAUUAAACUCCAGAAAGAAGAACUUGACCUCGAAAGGCAAAAGAUCACUGAUGAAAAAUUAAUUUUAGCUCAAAGUAAGGCAGAACUGCAAAAUGAAAGCGAACAAAUCAAAUACAUGGAGGAGGGAAUAAAGAAGGAGAGAGAAACACUGAAGGAAAUGGAAGCUCGCCUACAAAAGGAAAAGGAAGACAUAGAGAGUGUCACUGAAGAAACAAAGAGACAGAAAGAAGAUCUGGAUAAACAAAAACAAGAGAUGAAGAACAGCAGAGACCUUCUAGAACAAGAAAGAGAAGAAAUAAACCAUAAAUGGACAGUGUUACAACUGAGAAUGAAUGCAUUUGAUGCUCAAGUCAGCAAACAGAAGGAAGAAUAUCUAACAGAACAAAAGGAAAUAGAAGAAGAAAGAAAAGGUCUAGAAGAGACCAAAGUCAAGAUUCAAAAGCUGAAAACUAAAGCUGAGCAGGAACAUCAAGACAUAUGCCUAAAAAUGCAAGAGUUGUGCACACUGCAAGAACAUAUUAAGAAAGAACAAGAGAAAGAAGAAGAAAGGAUGGUAAAAGAAAAGAUGGAGAGAGAAGAAUUUGGUCAGAUAAAGAGUGAACUGGAAAGAGAGAAAACUAAAAUAGAUCAUGAGCAGAAGAAAAUUAAUGAUGCCAAAAAGAUCAUUGAACAGAAAAGAAAUGACCUUGAGAAGAUGUGGUCUGAAGUAAUGUUACAAAGAAAACAAAUAGAAGAAGAGAGAUCAGAACUUGACAACAAAAUAAAACAGACAGAUCUAGAAAAAUCUAAUAUUGAGAAAAGCAAAGAAAAUGUACAGAAAUUAUUGAAUGAGGAGGAAGAAAAGAGAAAUAAUAUUAAACUUCAUGAAGAAGAAAUUGAACUUGAGAGACAAAAGAUCAAUGAUGAAAAAGAUUUUCUGUCUCAAAUAAAGACAGAACUGCAAAAAGAAAGUGAACGAGUGCAAUACAUGGAAGAGGAAAUUAAUAAGGAGAGACAAACAAUGAAAGAAAAGGAAGCUCAUCUACAAAAGGAAAAGGAAGAAAUUGAGAGUGUCACUGAAAGAACAAACAGACAAAAAGAAGAUCUGGAAAGGAUGAACACAGAUAUAAAUAAACAAAAACAAGAGUUAAAGAACUGCAGAGACCUUCUAGAAAAAGAAAGAGAAGAAAUGAAUCAUAAAUUGACAGAAUUACAACAGAGAAUUUAUGAAUAUGAACAGUCAAAGACUGAGUCUAUGAGGAAUGUUCUGGAGGACACCAGAAAGAAAGAUGAAAAAACAGAAAUGGAAGAAAAACUUAAACAGGCUAAUAAGGAAUAUGAAAGAGUCAUAGAAGAAACAAACAGGAGAAGGGGUGAAUUAGAGAAAAUCAUGUUUGAUAUAUCACAACAAAAUCAAAAGUUUGAGACAGAGAAAGAUCUUCUGGAAAAAGAUAGAAAUAACAUUGAAAAGGAAAGAGAAGAUUUGCAAAGAAGGGCUGAUGACCUAGAGAAGCACAUGACAGAACAAAAAGAAAAAGAAGAGAUGAGUAAAAGAUCAAUGGAUGAAGAGAAGAAGCUUCUUGAGCACAAGGCUGGUGAAAUCUUGAGACAGAGAAAUGAAUUAGAGAAAGAAAAAGACGACAAGAUGAAGAAGUGGAAUGAGCUGGAUGUUCUCCAGAAGAAAUUGCAAAAACAAAGAGACGAAAUUGAAGAAAUCAAAAAUGACUUACAGACUGAAAAGGCUGAAAUUAAUCAACAGCAGCAAAGACUGGAGGAGAGUAUAAGAGUUGUGAAUGAGGAGAGAAGAGAUCUGGAGAACAUGAGAAAUGAUUUUGAAAAAUACAGACAACAAAUGGAAGAAGAAAUGAGAGUAAAAGCAAAGAUGGAGAGAGAGGAACUUGAUCAACUGAUGGCCAAGAUAUUGAUAGAACAAAAAGAAACUGAUAGGAGCAAGGAUAUGAUAGACCAUCUAAAGAAGGAAAUGGAGCAAACAAAAGCCGAACUCAAUGCUCAAGAAGAGCAAAUCAAACUGGAAUUGCAAAUAGUGCAAGAUGAGAGGCAAGAUCUGGAACAGUCCAAGGCUGAAAUCAAGAGACAGACUGAUAAAACAGAGAUCAUGAAAGAGCAGACACAACAGUUAGAAAAAGAGAAAGAUGUGUCUGAAACAUUAAAAGAAGAACAUCUAUCUGGACAGCUUCUUCAACAGAAGAGAGAAGAAAUGGCCUCUCAAGGAAAACAGAUACAGAUAGAUGAAGCCAACAGACUCUUGUCCGAGAUUCAAAGGGAAAGGGAAGCACUUGAAAGAAACAAAAAAAUCCUUGAACAUCAGAGAGAGGCACUGGACGAGAUGAAGAGAAAACAACCAACACAGAGGCUGGAAUUAAUUUUGGUUAGUUCUGCUACACAAACAUCUGAUCUAGACAACAUUCCUGUAGGUAACAUUUCAGCCCCUCAGGAACAGAUUGUUGAGGAACACACAGGCAUUCAUAAGGAAUAUACAACUUUCAUGACAAAAGGGAUGGAAGACGAAUUAGAGAUGAUGAGAGAUCAGGAGGACACAGAGCUCAAAAUGAGAAGUGAAGAAACCAAAAUGGACUCGAGCCAAGAAGACACUGCACUGGCAAAAGAAUAUAAAGAUAUACCUGAUCCAUCCAUGACAGUAAAGUUGGAGUUCAAUAAAGAUGAAGUCGAUGGCCUUACUGAAAUGUUGAUGACGGAGAAAAGGGAACUAGAAAAGACAAGACUUGUUUUACAGAGAGACCAGAAAGAGAUUGAGACAAUGAGACAACACACUGACAGAGAGAGGAAGAAGCUGGAGAAACAAUAUGAAGAGAUGGAGUUAUGCAGACAGAAUAUGGAAAAUGAAAGAUCUGAGUUAGAAAUGACUCAAGAUCAAAUUAAGAUGGACAUGGAAAAAAUUCUAAUGGAGAUCAAGAGCAAACAGGAGAAAAUAGAAAACAUGGAAUUUCAACUACAAAAAAAGAAGAGAGAAAUGGAAACCAUCUCUGCUGAGAUGAAACAGAGACAAGAGGAGUUGGACUUCAUAAAUACAGAGCUAAAACGAAAGAGACAAGAGAUGGUGGACACCAAAGAAAUGGAGGAACACGAGUUAACUGAAAUACUUCCAGAGAGAGAGGAGUAUAUAAAAAGACACCUGGAGGAAAUACAGAACCAAAAGGAAGCAUUAAGAAAGGAGAGGGAUGAAGUUGAAAAAAUACUCACUGGGCUGCAGAAGGAGCAAAUGGAAAUGGAGAUGCGUCAGGCAAUGCUGAACUCAGAAAGAAAUGAACUGAAUAGAAUGAGAAUCGAUCUGGAGACACAUAAAGAGGAGUUUAGGCUUAUGAAACAAAACACAGAGACAGAAAGAGACAAGCUGGAAUCAAGGUUAAGGAGAGCAGAGGACAUAGAAAGACUUUUGGAUGAUGUACUGAAAGAAAAGAAAAGGGUAGAAGAAAUGGCAGCUCAACUUUUCAAAGAACAGGAAGAGUUUAAAAUUAUUAUGACUGAGGCGAAUAAAAGGAUAAACAAGAUUAAACAGAUUGAGGAGGAAAUGAAAACAAAGCAAGAAGAAAUGGAGCACACUGAAGAACUGAGACAAAAAGAGCUUCAUCAAAGGAGAGCAGAAUUUGAAAAAAUGAAGACUGAAAUUGACAAUGAAAGAGAAGAAAUUCAGAAGAUACAAAGGGAAUGUGAGAGAGAAAAACAUGAACUGGAGCAAAUAAAAACAGAUUUGCAGAAAGAGGAACCACAGAAAACCAAUGCAGAAGUGCAAUAUGAUGAAACUCACAGUGUUAUGCACACAUUAAAAGAAGAGAAAGAUGAAAUAGAAAGGAUGAAAGCCGACCUCCAGAAUGAGCAGAGAGAAAUUGAAAACACGAUGGACAUUAUAACAAGAGAGAAGGGUGAGCUGGAAAAGAAGAAAGCUGAAAUGCAGCAAAUGGCUGCAGAAAUAAGGGACACGGACAGUGAUAAGAACUUACAAGAUAAAAUUAUCCAGAUUGAAGCAAUCCUCAAUGAAACCAAGAGACAGAAGGAUGACCUGGAACAGAUGAAUGACAAUUUGAACAGAGAAAAAUCAGAAUUGAAAAGCACUUGUCAGUUUCUAGAAAAAGAAAAGAGAGAAGCAGAAAUGAGAUUACAGGACAUGGUGAAUGAACUGAAUAUUAAGCUUAAGGAAUUAGAAAAUCUACAGUUCAAAACAGAGGAGAGAGAGGCAGAGAAGAAAAAUCUGGAGAAAUUUAAGGAUGAGAUGGCUAAAGAACGUGAAAAAAUUAAAAAGGAAAAUGAAGAUUUAAGAAUGAGAAGAGAAGAGCUGCUGCACAUGAAAGAACAAAUUCAAAAGCAGACAAAAGACCUAGAAGAAAUGAUGAAUGAAGUGACAAUGGAGAAGAGUGAGCUAGAACAAGAGAGGUGUGAAAUAAACAAACACAAACAACAAGUGGAAGACAUUGGGAAAGCUGCAGAAAUAAAGUGGGUUGAGACACAGGUAGCCACUGAAAGGUCCAGACAAGAUGACGAGGACAUGCAAAUCUUAAAAACUGAGAGAAAAAGACUAGCACAUCUGAAUGAUCAAUUACUGAAAGAGAAAGAGGACGUUGAAACCACCAAAGAGAGAAUUAAUAGAGAGAUGGAACAUAUUGAAAAGAUGCAAACCCAAUUAAAUGACCAAAAAGAAGAGAUCAACCUUGAAAAACAAAAAAUAGAAGACAAAAGGACUGAGAUUCAAGACGAGACAAAUGCUCUAGAGAAAAUUAUGAAGGACUUACAAAAAGAGAGGGAAAAUCUAAAUGCUUUAGUUACUCAACAACAAAAAGAAAGAGAAGAUAUGGAUAAACUAGCAGAGGAAAACAAAAGAAGAGAGAAGCAUGCUGAAGUUGAGAGACAGAGACAGUUAGAAGACAUAGAACAUGUCAAGGUGAGGUUGGCAAAAGAAAGGAAUCAAAUUGAACAGAUGAAUGCAGAAAUACAGACUAAACAUGAAGAGCUAGAGAAAAUAAUCAGAAAACAGCAAGAGGAUUUUGAAAUCAAAGAGAAUGACAUGCAAAGAGAAAGAAAGGCUUUGGAGAAAAUGAAUGUUGAGCUAGAAAGGAAAACCACUGAAAUGGAAAAUAAGAGAGAGAAAGCAGAAGUAAAACAAGAAAAGCAAGAGAUGGAAAACAUUCUGAAAACCAUCAAGAGUGAGUUGGAAGACCUACAGCAAUUGAGAAGUAAAUCUGAGGAAGAGAAGAAAGAUAUGCUGGACAGACUGUUAACAGAAAAACAUGAAAUGGAUCAAUUAAAAACCGAGUUACAGUUGGAGAAGAAGAGCAUUGAAGAGGAAAAGAAAAUGCUGAAGCAGUUAAUGAACGAAACUGAAAAUAAAAAAUCUCAACUGGACAGCAACAUUGUGCAAAUGAACAAUGACAAACAAAAUAUUCAAAAAGAAAAAGACUUGCUGGAGGAGAUAAAGGCAGAUUUACAAAGAAAGUCUGAAAAGCUUAAUGAGGAAAUCAGGAAAACCGACCGAAUCACCUCUCAAACCAGUAAAGACCAAGAGAACAUUCCGAAGAGACUGGAUGACAUGAGAAGAAAAGAAGAAGAGCUCAGUACUAUGCGUGCCGACAUCGAAAGGCAGACAAAGCUUCUGCAAUCAGAUCUACUGCAACUUCAGACACAGAAAGAGAACUUAGAAAAGAGCAAAGCAGAGAAUGAGACUCUAAGAGAAGAUCUCGAAAAGCAAAAAGAAAAAAAUGACUUGACAAUGCAAGACCUUCACAAAGAGAGGCUGACAUUGGAGCAGAAGAUUACUGAUAUAACACAGCUAAGAGAGACAGUGGAAAGCACACAGAAUGAAAUACGACUUAAAGAACAGGAUCUGGAAAACAAAGAAAAAGAACUUGACAUGCAAAGAAAAGAUGUAGAUAACUUAAGAAACAUUGUGAUAGCUGAGAAAAUGCAGCUGGAAAAGAGGCAAAUUGUUAUGAAUCAACAGCAGCAAGAGGUAGAUGGCUUGAUGAAUGAAAACAGAAAAGUGAGAAAUGAUUUAGAGAGCAUGAAAACUCAUCUAGAACAAGACAGACGACAACUACAAGAAAAAAUCAAAACAUUUGAAGAUCAGAAGAAUGUUUUUGAUCAAAUCAAAGUUGAUGCAAAGCAACAGACCGAUGAGCUUGAGAAAAUCACAGCAGAUCCUCUUGGAAAGGAAAGAGAGGAGACUGAUGCUUUGAAGAAAGAAAUCCAGAGAAAGAAAGAUGAACUGCAAAGCUUAAAUUUUGAAAUUGAAAGGUCCAAGCAAGAAAUGGCAGAAAACAGAGAACAGUUUGAAAAAGAGAUGGAAAAUUUAACUCAGAAAAGAGCAGAUUUACUGACAGAAAUUGAUCAGCAAGCCAAGACCCAAAUAAAGAAGAAAGAUGUAAAAACAGCAGUGGAGAGUGAAACACAGAUCCAAGCUGCUUUACAAAAGGUCAAGGAGGACACUGAAGAAGAAAAGACAGAUGCUGAAUUGCAGGCUGAUCUCCAGAAACAGAUGGAUGAACUAGAAGAACUGAGGAACACAAUUGAGGUGGAAAAAAAUCAGAUCGAAAAGAAAAAGCUCACAUUAGAUCAACAGCAGCAGGAAUUAGAAGACAUCAUGGUGGUCAUCAAACGAGAGAGAGAUGUGCUUCAGAAAGAGAAGUCUGAACUUGAUGAACACAGACAUAUGCUCAAUAAAAAUAUCCAGACAAAACAAGAAGAGCUUGAAAAGCUUAAUAAUGACAUUCAAAGGGACAAAAAGGAGAUUGAAAACAGCAAAAAGAUAAAUGAAAGUGAAAAAUAUUGUAUCGAAAAGGAGAGAGCUGAUUUAAACAGACUGAAGAAAGAGGCUGAAGACAGCAAACAAAGCAUACAACAUGAGAGAACUUUGCUGCAACAAGAUAAAGACAUGAUGCAGAAAGAAAAAGAAGACAUGGAAGGCAUUAUAGAAGAAAAGACAAGAACAAUGGAGGACCUGCAAAAGCAAAUAAACAGACAAUUAUCUGAACUGGAGAUGUUAAACAUGGAGAUUCAAAUAAAGAGACAGAAAGUAGAAAUGCAUCGCUUACCAGAAGAGAUGAAAACAAAAGAUCACUCAAAGAGGGAUGCUGAUGUCCUAAGAGAGGAUGUAGAAGUAAAGAAACAAAAAACAGAUGAACUUGAGAUAUAUCAGAUGAAGACCACCUCAGUAGAUGCUGAAACACAAACAUCUUUGGAUGACUUUAAGAAAACAGAUGAUGGUAGACAAAAGGAAUUAGAAGACGAAACGGCUGCAACAAAGAAAAAACAACCCACUGUGGCCAAGUUAAAAGACACGCACCCAUCUGAAGUGCAAGAAAUAAUGGACUCUUUAAACAAAGAAAUUGAAGAUUUGGAGAGAAUGAAGACAAUGAUGAAAAAAGAGAGACAUGAACUGGAACAAGCAAAAAAAGACUUUGAGAGAAAUAUGAAGGAAGUCAUGAAGGAGAAGUCAAGAAAUGAAGAAAAACUGCUACAACUUACACAAGACAAGGAGGAUUUAUCAAACAACCUUGAGAAGAAAAAUAAGGAAAUAGAGAGCAUCACAGAAGCAUUCGUGAUAAAGUUGGGACAACUGGAAGAGACUAUAGGGUCACUGAAAGAAGAGAAGGAAAACAUUGAAAAUGAGUUGCUUCAACAAAAGCAAAAUGAACAGGAGACACUAAAAAUCAAGGGAAAAACAGAUGAUACUUCCAUUAAAAGUGACAGGGAUGCUGAGAAAGUCACAUACAAAAUAGCAUUGGAACAAGUACAAGACACUAAAGAGGAGAAAAAGACAGACAGAGACAGCAGUCUGGAACUGACUGAGAUUCACUGGGCCAAAACAGAUGGAGAAACAAAAGCAAAAAUCUACAAAACUGACACCCAAAGAGAAGUUCUUCAGCUAAUGGAUGGUACAACCCUAGAACGAGAUGAGCUAAACAUCAUGAGAGCUGAACUACAGAGGCAACAUGACGAAAUGGAGAAUAAAAUGAAGAUCAUACAAACUGGCCUUCUUGAGAUGGAGAAGGCAAAGGAUCACCUGCAUAAAUUGAGGGAUGAAUGUAAAACCGCUGAAGAAGAAAAGUCAGGGAUCAUGGAGAGUCUCGAGAGGAGGAGGAACAGCCUGGAGAAGGUUCAAGCUGAGAUACUGAGACUUACCAAGGAGAUUGAUCAUCUCACACAAAGCUAUGAAUGCAAAAGAAGAGAACUGCAACAAAUUGAGACUGACAUACAAAGACAGACAAGGACUGAGGAGACUCAACAGGAAACUAAUAUUCAGAGUGAACAAGAAGAUCAAGAAGUAAUAGCAACUACAAAAUCCAUUCAAGAACAUACAGAGGAUGUUAAGCAGAAGAGAUGCUCUACCACAGUAUGA